AUCUGGGCGGCGGAAUUCAGGACGGUCGGGCGGGCGUCGCGCUCGUCGGGCCGUUUGAUAUUUCCGUCGCCGUGUCAGACGUCGCGACCUGUUCGUCGUCGGUCCUUGCUCGGAGGAAGCGCGAUCGAGUUCGUUGCGGACGCGUUUCGGCGCGUUCCGCGGCGAAGACGCGACUCUCUGGCUGAUGGCGGACAGUAAGCAACGGUGUCCGGCGUCGUGUCACGCACUCGACGCUCGGUGCCGGUCGGCGACGAUUUCUUCGGGCCUCUUUCCGACCCGUCUUGAAACACGGACCAAGGAGUCUAACAUGCGCGCGAGUCGCGGGGUUUCGAGCGUGCCACGGUGCGCUCGUCACUUCCGAAACCCGUACGUUGAAGGCGUAAUGAAAGUGAACAGGGAAGAUGGCGUUCCGAGUCCACGUACCGUGAUCGAGUAUCGCGGCCGGACGUCCGCACUCCCGGGGCGUCUCAAUGGCUCGCCGCGGAUGCGGACGGUCGUCUCUUCGGGGGCGGCCGUCGGUCUGUGGCGGUCCGA
rnacentral:rRNA from 1 species